UUGCGUGAAGGAUAGCAGUGAAAAUCCUUUUGUUGCCGCCUCGAGCGCGGCCGAAAGGCAACAAAAGAUUGUAACGGAUAGCCUGACCCUUU
rnacentral:sRNA from 1 species